CAGGCAUCCGUCUGCUACUCGGGCACUCCUGAUACCACUCUGCUGGUAAGGUGCAGGUGAUGUCAGGGCUGCUGGUGUGCCAUGCCUG
rnacentral:miRNA from 12 species